UAUCUACUCAGAGCGCGGGUCACUACACAGCCUAGUCUUCUUUUCUCACACUCGCAUCGUUGUUGCCGUGGUGCAGCGAGGACACAAUACUUGCGGGGGGAGUGGAAUUGGACUUAAGGGAGAGACAGACCAACAGAGGGUGAUGGUCGCUCAAGACUUGAACUUGAACUUCAUCUUAAAAUUGGCGUCCAUGUCAAAUCGACGUUCAUCUUCUUUUUUCCAUAAGAAAUAUACAUUUUCUGUGAUUCAAUGACAAACUACAAGGAGAUAUGAGGAAAAUACAGAUGUUUGAAGACAAGCAAUUAAACAUGCACAAUUGAGAGCAUCCUGUUGGCCUGUAUCACCGCCUGGUACGACAACUGCACCUCCCACAACCGCAAGGGUCUCCAGAGGGUUGUGAGGUCUGCGCAACGCAUCGCCGGGGGCAAACUACCUGCCCCCCAGGACACCUACAGCACCCAAUGUCACAGGAACACCAAAAAGAUGAUCAAGGACAACAACCACCCGAGCCACUGCCUGUUCACCCCACAACCAUCCAGAAGGCGAGCACAACAGAGGCCUUUUAUGGAGAUAGACCAGACCACAAGGAAGAC